UAGGGAAUAUUGGGCAAUGGCCGAUAGGCUGACCCAGCCAUGCCGCGUGCAGGAAGACGGCGUUCUGCGUUGUAAACUGCUUUUAUACGGGAAGAAAAGGCCCAUGCGUGGGACAUUGCCGGUACCGUAUGAAUAAGCACCGGCUAACUCCGUGCCAGCAGCCGCGGUAAUACGGAGGGUGCAAGCGUUGUCCGGAUUUAUUGGGUUUAAAGGGUGCGUAGGCGGCCUUUUAAGUCGGCGGUGAAAGUUUAUGGCUCAACCAUGAAAUUGCCGUUGAUACUGGGAGGCUUGAGUGUCGAUGGGGUACAUGGAAUUGAUGGUGUAGCGGUGAAAUGCAUAGAUACCAUCAGGAACACCGAUAGCGAAGGCAUUGUACUUAUCGACAACUGACGCUGAGGCACGAAAGCGCGGGUAUCGAACA
rnacentral:rRNA from 1 species